rnacentral:rRNA from 1 species
UGGGGAAUAUUGGACAAUGGGCGCAAGCCUGAUCCAGCCAUGCCGCGUGAGUGAUGAAGGCCCUAGGGUUGUAAAGCUCUUUCACCGGUGAAGAUAAUGACGGUAACCGGAGAAGAAGCCCCGGCUAACUUCGUGCCAGCAGCCGCGGUAAUACGAAGGGGCUAGCGUUGUUCGGAUUUACUUGGCGUAAAGCGCACGUAGGCGGACUUUUAAGUCAGGGGUGAAAUCCCGGGGGUCAACCCCGGAACUGCCUUUGAUACUGGAAGUCUUGAGUAUGGUAGAGGUGAGUGGAAUUCCGAGUGUAGAGGUGAAAUUCGUAGAUAUUCGGAGGAACACCAGUGGCGAAGGCGGCUCACUGGACCAUUACUGACGCUGAGGUGCGAAAGCGUGGGGAGCAAACAGG